rnacentral:lncRNA from 1 species
GAGAGAGGAGCUAACAUCUGUUGCCCAUCUUCCUCUUUUUGCUUGAGCAAGAUUGCCGCUGAGCUAAUAUCUGUGCCCUUCUUCCUCUAUUUUAUGUGGGACGCUGCCACAGUGUGGCUUGACGAGUGGUGCUAGGUCUGUGCCCGGGAUCCGAACCUGCAAACCCCAGACCGGUGAAGCAGAGUGCGCAAACUUAACCACUACCCCACCAGGCCAGCCCCAAGAUGUGUAUUAUUUUAAGCAGCUACAUUUGUGGGAAUUUGCUAUAUAACAAUAGAAAAUGAAUAUAGUUACCUUAAAAACCUUAACAUUCAUAUUUAACUUAGUGUCUGAAGAUAAUAUCUUUACUAAGAAAAUAAAAGGACCUUAGAAUGUUUUCACUCCCUUUUACCACUCUUUCAUUAUACAUGCUAUUGUUAUCUAGGUGUAUCUAGCUUAAUUUAUUUAACCCUCAAAAUAAACGUCAUCGUCAUUAGUCUAUUCAGUGCUUGCUUCGAUUGACCCACAUUCACCGUGCUCUUUGCUCACAUGUCUUCUUACACUCAGACUUCCUCCUGUGUUUAUUAUCCCUCAUCCUGAAGUACAUUCUCUAGAAGAUCUUACAAUAAGGCUUUGCUCUAAUAAAAGCUCUCAAUUUUUUUUAGUCAGAAAAUAACUUUAUUUUAACCUCAUGUUUGAAAGAUUAUUUUGUUAGACAUAAUAGUGUUUAAACUUUAUCUUCUCUCAGUACACGUAACGUACCAUUUCACUGUCUUCUGGUUUCCUUUAUUGCUGCGGAACUAUCUCCUGUUAGUUUAAAUAUAAUUCUUUUAUAGAUACACUGUGUUUUUCUCUAGAUGCUUCUCACAUAGUCUCCUUGCUUUUGGUAUUCUAAAAUUUCACUGUGAGUUUAGGUGUAGAUUUCUUUUUAUUUAUUCUGUUUGCAAUUCUUUCUGUUUUCAGAAUCUGUGUAUUGGUAUUUCUCAUCACCAGAUGAAUAGAAGAAAUUCUCAGAGUCCGAGAAAUUUUCAGCCAUUAUCUCUUUGAAUAGU